AGGAGAUAGAAGAAAGGGGGGAACGGGGAGGUGCUCGCCAUCAGCCUUCACCCGUUGGGCCCGUCCCCGACGGCGACCUGAGCUUCUUCUUUUCUUUUCCCUCUGCCAAAUUGAUGUGAGCUCGUGUCCUCAAUUCAUCUCCGCCUGAGUCCAGGAUGGUGGCCACUGCAGCGUACGGCCGGAGGCGCCAGCGACCUCAGGCACCCAUCACUGGGCGGUGACCGACGCUUAUUCUUCCUCUCCCUCCGUCAACAUUAUGUGUGCUCAUGUCCUUCAUGUUUUCUCCCAAUCCGUCUGUCUUUAUUUUUCUGCCUAAAUGCUAUCUACACAUUUACGUGUUGUGGCAGUGGGGAGAUGGAGCCUGGCCGAGGGGGAGAUAGAUGAAGGAUGCUGCUAAAGUGGUUUCCCAACUGUAAGAUCCGUUAUCCCUCUUUUGAUUCUCAUCCCCAAUUUCAUUUUGCGCAGUUUGUGUUUGUCAUACUGGGUUUUAUUUUGUAAAGGAGUGUGUCAUACUGGAUAAUGCUCCAAGACUAAUUAAUUAUUUUCGUAACCACAUUGAAGAAAUUAGUUUGUUGCUUUGAUGUCGUGUUUGUUCGCCAAUGCUGAUUUUUCAGGCUGGAUCAUCAUUUGUGAGUGCCAUUCUUAGCAGUUUAGUAUUUGGCGGUUCAGUCUAUUUACCCUUCAUUUGUUUGGUAGUUUGGAAGAAGGAAGAUUUGAUGAGGGAUAUCUACACUUCUGCCAUAGAUCGGAGGGGAGAUUAGAGGGAAUUUGCUCAUUCAGUUCUGAAGAAUUUGUGGUGGAUUGCGUUUCGUAGUGUAUGUUGGGGUUCUGCCAACAAUCGAGCACGCAACCAUAUGUAGUUUCCCUGCAACUUUGUUUAUCAACUUAAUUUAUUUAUUUCCUGUCAUAUAGUUCUUCAUUAUCAUUUAUCCACAUAUGAAACUAGCCUUUAGUAUUUAGAUUCAGAAGCACACUUAGCAUUGAAACUGCAUGUCCAUUUGUUUCUUCAGUUUUCUGUCCAUUAUAUGCCAACCUUCCUUGCCCUUCCUACUACCCAAUUUCACACUAAGAAUCUCUUGAGUCAUGUUUAUAUACACUUGCUCAUUUGCUUGUGUGUUAAUUCAUUCUUCAAUCAGUCUUCAUAUUCAUUGAUGAAAAUUACGUUGUUAGUAUUCAUUUACCUUUCUUUCUUCUUUGGUGUUAUUCUGAAUAAUCAAUGUCUCUCUUCUCAGUUUUUUCAGUGUUUCUUUUUACCAUGUUAGUCACCGAAGAAAAGUAUAUUCUUAGUCCCCAGUCGCUGUUUCAUCAGAGUCCUUUUGAGCAAUCAUUCCCUCUUUUUUAUUUCAUUCACUUUCGUUAGUCUUGGGGCUGUUCUCCCUUUCUUUGUUUAGUCCUCCAUUUUCUCAUGAGAACGGACUUUUAGAUCCCGGGUGCCUAGACACCCGGUUAUCUGGACCGUUCGUCCAUCUCUGGUGCGUUGAGAUGUGUGCCAAGCUGAGAAACGAAUCAAUAUAAUACCAGGUCUGCUUCUUGAUUAGGCGCGGGAUGUUCGACAGCACCGAAAUAAACUAUGCCUAGUACAGCCGUGCUGCUACACACCUGACACCUGCACCCACCUACUAGUAAAGAAAAAUCGCAGUUGAUACGACAUGUCUGCCUGGCAGAGUAUUCGGAGGGAGAUAUAUGUGUCGGCCAUUCUUUCAAACGAGCGACUAGACGUGUCGUCUUGAAUCCACUCAACUCCGUCUUCCCCAUCCUGCGCCGUACAGUAGUGAUCCCCAUUCUCAACUCCCCGUGCCCUUCUGGUUCACCUUCCAUCUUCCCCGGCGGAUUGCAUUUCAAUCUAUGGACUCCCACGUCGAGGAUGCGGAACGGUAUGUCCGCGAGGCAGGCGACGGGCCCGGCACUGCAAUUGAAGCGGAAGGAUAUCAAUUCGCGGCUCAUGGGAUUGAUUUUUUCGCAUCUAUAGCCGCCGGCCUGGAUCUGCAAUCAACACCCAGAUCGGAAGUGGUGGAUGGUGGUUCUUUUGUUACGAUUUCGGGCGAUGUUCAUACAUCCGAUGCAGCGGCGACCCGGCAGGACAGGACGAACUCUUGUCAAUACCCACCAGCUUGUGGAUGGAAACGUAGGAAUCAAACGGGUGACAGGCUCACAGCAAGGGCAAUGCCAAGCAAGUUCACAUCUAUUGAAAGAUGUCUGCUAAACUCUGAAGGUAAACAUGCUCCUGAUACAUUUGCCCCUAUUGUGGGGUCAUCAUUCGACUCCUGUCAGUAAGCGUAUGAGCAGUACAAUUUGUUUGCUUGGGAGAAUGGUUUUGGUAUUCGACACGGCAAGUCUAGAUGGGGAGAUGGACGAUACCAGCUAAUGCAUGAAAUUGUGUGUCAAUGCCAGGGCAAACCAUAGAAGGAGAAUUCUGUAUCAUGUAAAACUCAAUGCAAGGCAAGGAUGAGGCUUCUUCGUACAGAAGACCAUGGUUGGUGCGUUAGCAUCUUCAGUAAUGAGCAUAACCAUCAUCUGUCUGGAAAUCGAGAGGAGACAAGGGAAUGGCAUUCACACAGUGAGAUCAACCCUGUACUUAUGAACUUCAUCAAGGAUUUGAGAGAGAACAAUAUCAGUCUCAGCAAGGUGCACAACAUACUAAAUGCAACACAUGGUGAUCAGGCUGGUGCACCGUUCCGUAAGCAAUCUUUAAGGUAUCUAUGCUCUCGGAUUGCUCAGGAUGCGAUAUCUGACGACAUGGAAAAAACUGUAAAAUUGCUAGAUGAAAUGAAGCGUGUGGAUCCAAGCCUGUCAGUUUUUUUAGAAAUCGAUCAUGAGGGUUCCCCUAAGUUCACCUUAUGGUGUACUGGGAAGAAUAAACAGGAUUAUAUGUACUUUGGUGACGUGGUCACUUUCGACACAACAUACAAAACCAAUCUUUAUAAUAUGCCGUCUGGUAUUUUUGUUGGCGUGAACAAUCACUACCAGUCAACCAUUUUUGGAGGUGUGCUCAUGCGCGAGGAAACAGUAGCUGGAUUCGAGUGGGCUUUCGGAAAUUUUGUUGAAGUUAUGAAUCGGAAACAUCCGGUCACCAUCCUAACAGGUUGAUGCCGCAUGGAUAUUACCAUAAUGUUGUAUUUCA